ensembl:lncRNA
AUGCCAACCCGCAGGGAAGCCGGCGGGAGUGAGUUACCGGCCAAGGCCCAGGAGCGGAGACUGCAGAGGCGUGCGGGGCUCGGCGGCUGGGGGCCCGCUGCUCUCCACCCACCGCCGCUCGCUCCAGCCGCCUGCUGCGGCGCCUGCCGCAUCGGGCCGCCGAAGCCCGAGGCCGGCGGAAACCGGAGGAAGGUGGCCCGGGUCAGGGGCGGCGCGGGCACGAUUCCUUCUCCACGGACCAGGCGUGGGAGCCGCGGGAGUCCAAGGCGCCUGACGAGCGGUGCGCUACCCUGCGCGCCCCGGUCCGGGUCCCAGGCGACUGCGCCGAGCGCCUCCGGAGCCGCGGGGAAACUCCUCCUGCUCGGCUGCUGGCGCCAGACGCGCGGUGACCACGGCCGCCCCCAAGUUCACGGAGGAAGGAGAUUGCCUCAUCACCAAAGGAUAUUGUAAGAGAGUGACUUGUCAAGUGGAGAGAUACCGCUGGGAUACAGAGUUUCAGAAAAACACUUACAACCAUGGUUAAUUGAAUGGGAAUCCUGUGAAACCUUCGUUAGCUUUUUGUGUGUGGGUAUCAAGAUGUCAGCUGACACGGUCUGGUGGUCAUUUCUAGUUCCCAUUGUUUUAGUGCCCCCAAACCAGAAUGUCUUCUCCAAGGAUACAUAGACUAUAGAUUACUGAAACCUUUCUUCUAGACCCUAGUCAUCAUUUAUCCUGCCUGAGUCUGCUCUCUCUCACACCUGAACUCACUUUGGGGAACAGAUCCCAUCUUUAAGGUAAUCAUAGUAGCAGAGGCAGGCAUCAGGAUUAUCACAAGGAAAGCAUCUUCGGAAGCUUCCCAGGAGCCUGCAAAUCCAGUACCUCAAUUCUUCAUUUCAAUUCCACACCAGGAGCAGUUUAUUACACUAUAGGACAUUAUGAAUACCAGAGCAUCAGUAUCAGUAAUAAAGAGCUCUAGAUAUAGGAACCACCGUGACCAUCUGAAGUAGAAGUAAAAUGAAGGAUUCAGACCGACGAUUGUUUCCGAGGGGUUUAAACUAGUAAUCAAUUUUUGUUUUACAAUUUUUACAAUAUUUGUCUUUACUGUAUCUUCUGGUAAGCUUCCAAAUUUCUUUUUUUGCACUCGGGUGCCAUACUGGCAGCAGUUUUUCCAAAUCCUGUAUAUGACUGUUAAUUAUUACAAGUAUAUUAGCCACAUGGUGAGACACUGACCAUCCAAGCAGCUAUCCACAGUGCUUCAAAAGUGGUAAAUACAAAUAACCUUAAUCUUUAUCAUCAUUUAGUAUUAUUGCAUAAAAUCGAGGGUUUCUGAAUCUGCCUAAGGGACUAAAGAGAAGUACAUAAUUUUGUUUUUGCUUAAAGAGAGAGAUGGGAGUAGGCAGGACUUAACUGUCUGUCUCUGUGCUUAUCACAUGAUAAAUGAAUGCAUUUUAACCAAGUCAACUAGGUCGUAGACUUUGGAUCCAACAAAUUUUGUAUAAUUGAUAAAAGUCUUACUGGCUAUAGAUUAAAAAGCGGAAAACCACUGAAUCUUCCUAGGCCCUUUAGAGUUAAGAGUCCUGCCACACAGAACCUGUCAGACAAAAUGUUAAUCCACAGGCUGGAAAACAAUCAACUUCCAAUAUUAAUAUUUGGAAGUUGUCCCUAAAUUUUAUUUAAAUGAGGUGAUUCAUAAAUUAUUUUGUACAUGACUUCAGAAAAUGUACAUACCGCUUGCUGUUCAGGGGAACACACUUAUUCUAUAUCUGAGAUCUCUCAAGAAUUCACUCACCAUUUGCAGAGAAGGACUUGGGAGUCCUCAAUUACUAGCUCCGACUACUUUCUUAAUUCUUAGUCUUAUACCUCCAAACUGCUUGCUAAGCCCUCAGUUCAACAUGUAUUUCUCAGCACCUGCUAUAUGCAAAGUAUUUCACAAAAAGCAGGGUCAACAAAUCCAAAGCCAAAUCUUUAGUUUUCCACCCUAACCAGCCUUUUCUUUUCACUUAUUUUUAUUACUGAUAAUGUCUUUCUCCCACCUUCCCACUUUUAAAAACCAUAGAGUUAUCCUUGAUCUUCUUCUUUUUCUCCAUCUCACCUGAACUUCCAGCCUUCAUGUCCUUAACACGCUCCACAUUCAGUCGUUCAAUACAUACUUGCUUGCUAUCUGCCAGGCACUGUUCUAGGUGCUAGGAAUAGUUUGCCAGGGGGGAAAACAGGCAAACAUUUCUGCAUUCCUGGAGCUUAUAUUUUACUAACAGUGUCCUGCAAAAAUCUUCAAACGUCGUCUUGUCGAGCCCUUCAUCUCAAUUUCAGUUGAAAUGCUUCCUUCUUCUUCUCCGGGCUUCCCCAGGGAGGCAGGGAGGAGCCUGCCUCCCUGACCCUUUACCCCACUAGAACGAAAGACAACAUUGGACUCCACCCUCUCUGCCUCUGUCAGUUUUCUGCAAUGUAAAACAGCAUUAGUUGAGAUGUUUUCUAGGGAUCUGUUAACUUAUUUCUAACCCUGUAACAGAAAAGUCAUUGAGCCCACAGAACACCAAGGUUUGGUUACCUUCUUGAGAUGGAGGAGGG